GCGCCGGUUCCUCCGACAAGGGGGAUUAAAAGGGAACGCGGUGAGGGCGAAGGCCCGAAUCCGGGGCUGUCCCUGCAACUGUAAGCGGUGAGCGGACAUGCACGGAUCGGCGGUCACAGGCCGGUCCAGCCACUGGGGUAACCUGGGAAGGCGCAUGUUUCCGCGAUGACCCGUGAGCCAGGAGACCUGCCGGCGUC
rnacentral:ncRNA from 1 species